rnacentral:rRNA from 1 species
GAUCAAGUGUCUUAAGGGCAAUUGGUGGAUGCCUUGGCAUGCACAGGCGAUGAAGGACGUGAUACGCUGCGAUAAGCUACGGGGAGGUGCGAAUACCCUUUGAUCCGUAGAUCUCCGAAUGGGGAAACCCACCUAAGGUACUUGGAAAAUCAGAGCAGCAGGGCAACUGACGCGACAAUCCCAAAAGGAUUGAGCGUGGGGCGACGAUCUCUUUGGGAUCGCGCUGCUUUUGCUGCUGUGGUUUCCAAGUAUCGAUAAUAGGUAACUUAUCCUGAAUACAUAGGGAUAAAGUGGCGAACGCGGGGAACUGAAACAUCUAAGUACCCGUAGGAAAGGACAUCAACCGAGACUCCGGAAGUAGUGGCGAGCGAACCCGGACCAGGCCAGCGGCGAUUGAGAGACAAGCGGAACCUUCUGGAAAGUUGGGCCAUAGCGGGUGACAGCCCCGUACGCGUAAUGCGAUCAAUCGUCCUUGAGUAAGGCGGGACACGUGAAAUCCUGUCUGAAAUUGGGAGGACCACCUUCCAAGCCUAAGUACUCGUGCAUGACCGAUAGCGAACUAGUACCGUGAGGGAAAGGUGAAAAGCACCCCGACAAGGGGAGUGAAAGAGUACCUGAAACCGAUUGCCUACAAACAGUGGGAGCCCGUCCUUCAAAUCGCUUGACGAUUUGAAGAACUUUUGAUUUUGCCAUCAAGAGCGCAAGCGCUUUGAUGGGCGGGUGACCACGUACCUUUUGUAUAAUGGGUCAGCGACUUAGUGUGACGAGCAAGCUUAAACCGAUAGGUGUAGGCGCAGCGAAAGCGAGUCUGAACAGGGCGUUCAGUUCGUCGCAUUAGACCCGAAACCGAGUGAUCUAGCCAUGAGCAGGCUGAAGGUAAGGUAACACUUACUGGAGGGCCGAACCCAUAACUGUUGCAAUAGUUCGGGAUGACUUGUGGCUAGGGGUGAAAGGCCAAUCAAACUCGGAAAUAGCUGGUUCUCCGCGAAAUCUAUUUAGGUAGAGCGUCGACCGAAUACCCCAGGGGGUAGAGCACUGGAUGGGCUAGGGGUCCUCACCGGAUUACCAAACCUAACCAAACUCCGAAUACCUGGGAGUACUAGUCGGCAGACACACGGCGGGUGCUAACGUCCGUCGUGAAAAGGGAAACAACCCUGACCUACAGCUAAGGUCCCCAAGUUAUGGCUAAGUGGGAAAGGAUGUGAGGAUCCCAAAACAACCAGGAUGUUGGCUUAGAAGCAGCCAUCAUUUAAAGAAAGCGUAACAGCUCACUGGUCUAAAUAAGGGUCUUUGCGCCGAAAAUGUAACGGGGCUAAAGCCAUACACCGAAGCUUAGGGUUCGUGAGCAAUCACGAGCGGUAGCGGAGCGUUCUGUAAGCCAGUGAAGCCGUACCCGUGAGGGGCGGUGGAGGUAUCAGAAGUGCGAAUGCUGACAUGAGUAACGUAAGGGGAGUGAGAGACUCCCCCGCCGAAAGACCAAGGGUUCCUGCUUAAAGUUAAUCUGAGCAGGGUUAGCCGGCCCCUAAGACGAGGCGGAAACGCGUAGUCGAUGGGAAUCACGUUAAUAUUCGUGAGCCUGGAGGUAGUGACGGAUCACACAAGUUGUCCAAUCUUAUCGGAUUGAAAGGGCAGCGGAGUGGUUCCAGGAAAUAGCUCCUCCUUAUAGACCGUACCCGAAACCGACACUGGUGGUCUGGUAGAGUAUACCAAGGCGCUUGAGAGAACUAUGCUGAAGGAACUCGGCAAAUUGCACGCGUAACUUCGGAAGAAGCGUGACCCUUUUUUGCGCAAGCAGAGGAGGGUGGCACAGACCAGGGGGUAGCGACUGUUUAUCAAAAACACAGGGCUCUGCGAAGUCGCAAGACGACGUAUAGGGUCUGACGCCUGCCCGGUGCUGGAAGGUUAAGAGGAGGGGUGCAAGCUCUGAAUCGAAGCCCCAGUAAACGGCGGCCGUAACUAUAACGGUCCUAAGGUAGCGAAAUUCCUUGUCGGGU